rnacentral:lncRNA from 1 species
CAUUUUCCUAGUGGAUUUGCUCAUGGAUGGAUGCCUCCCUCCAGCAGUCUGGAUGGGAUGCCAGCAGGGUCCAGCUUCACAAAGGUGGAACUACAGCGCAGCUCUGUGGUGUCAAGUUUGCCCACAGAUGAGGGCCUGCUUUCUGCAAGUGAUCUCUGCUGGUCAUUCCUAGAACUCUCCCGCGCCGUGACCUUCAGGAAGGCACACAGCCUGAAUUUUCCAUCAAUACCAGUGGUUAUCCUAGAGGAGUUUCUGGGCAAG